rnacentral:rRNA from 1 species
AUUGAACGCUGGCGGAAUGCUUUACACAUGCAAGUCGAACGGCAGCACGGACUUCGGUCUGGUGGCGAGUGGCGAACGGGUGAGUAAUGUAUCGGAACGUGCCCAGUCGUGGGGGAUAACGUAGUGAAAAUUACGCUAAUACCGCAUACGAUCUAUGGAUGAAAGCGGGGGAUCGCAAGACCUCGCGCGAUUGGAGCGGCCGAUAUCAGAUUAGGUAGUUGGUGGGGGAAAGGCCCACCAAGCCAACGAUCUGUAGCUGGUCUGAGAGGACGACCAGCCACACUGGAACUGAGACACGGUCCAGACUCCUACGGGAGGCAGCAGCGGGGAAUUUUGGACAAUGGGCGAAAGCCUGAUCCAGCCAUUCCGCGUGCAGGAUGAAGGCCCUCGGGUUGUAAACUGCUUUUGUACAGAACGAAAAGGUUUCUACUAAUACUAGGAGCUCAUGACGGUACUGUAAGAAUAAGCACCGGCUAACUACGUGCCAGCCGCCGCUGUAA